UAGCCAUGCAUGUCUAAGUAUAAGCACUCUUUUACUGUGAAACUGCGAAUGGCUCAUUAAAUCAGUUAUCGUUUAUUUGAUAGUACCCUACUACAUGGAUACCUGUGGUAAUUCUAGAGCUAAUACAUGCGCAAAACCCCGACUUCGGAAGGGGUGUAUUUAUUAGAUAAAAAACCAAUGCCCUUCGGGGCUCCUUGGUGAUUCAUAAUAACUUCACGAAUCGCAUGGCCUUGCGCCGGCGAUGGUUCAUUCAAAUUUCUGCCCUAUCAACUUUCGAUGGUAGGAUAGUGGCCUACCAUGGUGGCAACGGGUAACGGGGAAUUAGGGUUCGAUUCCGGAGAGGGAGCCUGAGAAACGGCUACCACAUCCAAGGAAGGCAGCAGGCGCGCAAAUUACCCAAUCCCGAUACGGGGAGGUAGUGACAAUAAAUACUGAUACAGGGCUCUUUUGGGUCUUGUAAUUGGAAUGAGAACAAUCUAAAUCCCUUAACGAGGAACAAUUGGAGGGCAAGUCUGGUGCCAGCAGCCGCGGUAAUUCCAGCUCCAAUAGCGUAUAUUAAAGUUGUUGCAGUUAAAAAGCUCGUAGUUGAACCUUGGGCCCGUCCUGCCGGUCCGCCUCACCGCGAGUACUGGUCCGGAUGGGCCUUUCUUUCUGGGGAAUCCCAUGGCCUUCACUGGCUGUGGCGGGGAACCAGGACUUUUACUGUGAAAAAAUUAGAGUGUUCAAAGCAGGCCUUUGCUCGGAUACAUUAGCAUGGAAUAAUAGAAUAGGACGUGCGGUUCUAUUUUGUUGGUUUCUAGGACCGCCGUAAUGAUUAAUAGGGAUAGUCGGGGGCGUCAGUAUUCAGCUGUCAGAGGUGAAAUUCUUGGAUUUGCUGAAGACUAACUACUGCGAAAGCAUUCGCCAAGGAUGUUUUCAUUAAUCAGGGAACGAAAGUUAGGGGAUCGAAGACGAUCAGAUACCGUCGUAGUCUUAACCAUAAACUAUGCCGACUAGGGAUCGGGCGGGGAUUUCUAUGAUGACCCGCCUCGGCACCUUUACGGAGA
rnacentral:rRNA from 1 species